ensembl:lncRNA
UGGGAACAUAAAGCCAUUGAGGAAUCCUGUAAGAGGAUAGUCCUGUCUGAAUUCUUUGUGCUUUUCUUACAUUAUAAUUAAUGGGUUAGGACUUUCUCACAUCUUGAAGCAUACAAUUGUGGAGUAAUUCAAAGAGGAAGGAGCUUCUGAACUCAGGUCAAAUGCACAUGCUUCUUGUUUACUAUGGUCUGUCGGAUGCAUGACAGGAACACCUAGAAGCCCCACUUGAGAUCAGCUUCUGUCAGUCCUAGAUACUGCACAGAGCCUGACUCAAAGAGUUUACAGUCUAAAUGAGUAUGACAAAAAAGGAUACAGUAAAAUGAAUUCACAUAGAAUAUGAAGAGCUGCAGUGGAA